ACGUAGGGGGCAAGCGUUAUCCGGAAUUACUGGGUGUAAAGGGAGCGUAGGCGGCAUGGUAAGCCAGAUGUGAAAGCCCGAAGCUUAACUUCGAGGAUUGCAUUUGGAACUAUCAAGCUAGAGUACAGGAGAGGAAAGCGGAAUUCCUAGUGUAGCGGUGAAAUGCGUAGAUAUUAGGAAGAACACCAGUGGCGAAGGCGGCUUUCUGGACUGAAACUGACGCUGAGGCUCGAAAGCGUGGGGAGCAAACAG
rnacentral:rRNA from 1 species